GACGAACGCUGGCGGCGUGCUUAACACAUGCAAGUCGAACGGAAAGGCCCUGCUUUUGUGGGGUUCUCGAGUGGCGAACGGGUGAGUAACACGUGAGUAACCUGCCCUUGACUUUGGGAUAACUUCAGGAAACUGGGGCUAAUACCGGAUAGGAGCUCCUGCUGCAUGGUGGGGGUUGGAAAGUUUCGGCGGUUGGGGCUGGACUCGCGGCUUAUCAGCUGGUUGGGGGGGUUGUGGCUUACCAGGGCUUUGACGGGUAGCCUGCCUGAGAGGGUGACCGGCCACAUUGGGACUGCGGUAAGGCCCAGACGCCUACGGGAGGCAGCAGUGGGGAAUAUUGCACAAUGGGCGGAAGCCUGAUGCAGCAACGCCGCGUGCGGGAUAACGGCCUACGGGUUGUAAACCGCUUUCGCCUGUGACGAAGCGUGAGUGACGGUAAUGGGUAAAGAAGCACCGGCUAACUACGUG
rnacentral:rRNA from 1 species